CGGGCCCGGCGGCGGCGGCGGCGCCUUUAAGCGGGGCCGGUCUCCCGGAGCCCCCGCCCGGGGGCCGGGCCGGGCCGCCCCCCGUAGCCUGGUAACGGCGGCUCUGCGGGCGGGGGCGGCCCCGGCAGCCGCGGUCAGGUGGCACCGCCGAGACGGAGCCGGCCGAGCACGAUAAAAGUCCCGGCCCGCCGCCGCCACGGCCGCGAGGGAGAGCGGAGCCGCCGCCCGGGAGCCAUGCCCAGCGUGGGACACUCUCCCUGAGCCGCCCCAGCCCCAGCAGCCCAGAGCUCCGCGGUGCCGCUCCGUGACUGAGAGCAGGACUUUGUCACCAACUUGACUGAGCAGCGGGAGCUCUCGCUGUCCUGCCGCCACCAGGCCAGACAAUCCCUCCCUUGGCUGCACGUCCCCUUGGCUCUCUUCCCAUAAUGGAAG
rnacentral:lncRNA from 1 species